AUGGAAUCGGAAAAGCCACAUAAUAGAGAAAGACCCGGCAGAGGAAGCGACGGGGGAACUGGCAACAAAACCACAGGGGGGUUGGCCGGCUUUUCCGAAGCCGGCGGAGCAGGUUACUCCCACGCGGAUUUGGCUGGCGUCCGCUAACUGGUAUGAACCCUCUGUCUCCUUAUUUAAAUGUGGAUCUACGAUAUCUUGUGCAGGAUACAGAUGAGUUUAUUUUACCAACUGGAGCCAAUAAAACCAAGGGCAGAUUUGAACUGGCCUUCUUUACCAUUGGAGGAUGUUGCAUGACAGGCGCUGCAUUUGGAGCAAUGAAUGGUUUUCGGCUAGGAUUGAAGGAAACCCAGAACAUGACCUGGUCCAAACCAAGAAAUGUACAGAUUCUGAAUCUGGUGACUAGGCAAGGGGCACUUUGGGCAAAUACUCUAGGUUCUCUGGCUCUGCUCUAUAGUGCAUUUGGUGUUAUCAUUGAGAAAGCAAGAGGUGCAGAAGAUUACCUCAACACAAUAGCAGCUGGAACCAUGACGGGCAUGUUGUACAAAUGUACAGGUGGUCUUCGAGGGGUAGCACGGGGUGAUCUGACAGGACUAACACUUAGCAGCUUCUAUGCACUAUAUAAUAACUGGGAGCACAUGAAAGGUUCCUUGCUUCAACAGUCACUCUGAAGGCUUUGCCAACCCAUGAAUGAAGGACACUUCAGUAGUCAUCCAGAUCAAUUUAUAAGUCAGUCUGGAGUUAUUCUCUCUCCUACCUACAAUUAGUUUGAAAAAUUGGAGAUUCUGGUUUGCUGUGAUGAAGAUGAAGAUGGUUGACCCAGGACAGGCAUUUCUUCCAGCCAUUUGUGAGCUG